rnacentral:rRNA from 1 species
ACUACGGGAGGCAGCAGUGGGGGAUAUUGCACAAUGGGGGAAACCCUGAUGCAGCGACGCCGCGUGAGUGAAGAAGUAUUUCGGUAUGUAAAGCUCUAGCAGCAGGGAAGAAAAUGACAGUACCUGACCAAGAAUCCCCGGCUAACUAAGUGCCAGCAGCCGCGGUAAUACGUAGGGGGCGAGCGUUAUCCGGAUUUACUGGGUUUAAAGGGAGCGUAGACGGUUAUGUAAGUCUGGAGUGAAAGUCCGGGGCCCAACCCCGGGAAGGCUUUGGAUACUGGGUACCUGGAGUACAGGAGGGGCAGGCGGAAUUCCUGGUGUAGCGGUGAAAUGCGUAGAUAUCAGGAGGAACACCGGCGGCGAAGGCGGCCUGCUGGACUGAAACUGACGUGGAGGCUCGAAAGCGUGGGGAGCAAACAGGAUUAGAUACCCUGGUAGUC